CCCUUAGAUGUUCUGGGCCGCACGCGUGCUACACUGAGUGGAUCAGCGGGUCAGGUUGCGCGAAAGUGUUUCCUAAUCUUGAAAUCCGCUCGUGAUGGGGAUUGACGGUUGCAAUUUUCCGUCAUGAACGAGGAAUACCUUGUAAGCGCGGGUCAUCAUCCCGCGCUGAAUACGUCCCUGCCCUUUGUACACACCGCCCGUCGCACCUACCGAUUGAAUGGUCCGGUGAAGCCUCGGGAUUGUGGUUAGUUUCCUUCAUUGGAAGUUAGCCGCGAGAACUUGUCUAAACCUUAUCAUUUAGAGGAAGGUGAAGUCGUAACA
rnacentral:rRNA from 1 species